rnacentral:rRNA from 1 species
AUUGAACGCUGGCGGCAUGCUUUACACAUGCAAGUCGAACGGUAACAGGGUGCUUGCACCGCUGACGAGUGGCGAACGGGUGAGUAAUGCGUCGGAACGUGCCGAGUAGUGGGGGAUAACGCAGCGAAAGUUGUGCUAAUACCGCAUACGUACUGAGGUAGAAAGCGGGGGACCUUCGGGCCUCACGCUAUUCGAGCGGCCGACGUCUGAUUAGCUAGUAGGUGAGGUAAAGGCUCACCUAGGCGACGAUCAGUAGCGGGUCUGAGAGGAUGAGCCGCCACACUGGGACUGAGACACGGCCCAGACUCCUACGGGAGGCAGCAGUGGGGAAUUUUGGACAAUGGGCGAAAGCCUGAUCCAGCCAUGUCGCGUGUCUGAAGAAGGCCUUCGGGUUGUAAAGGACUUUUGUCAGGGAGGAAAUCCCUAGUGCUAAUAACACUGGGGGAUGACAGUACCUGAAGAAUAAGCACCGGCUAACUACGUGCCAGCCGCCGCGGUAA